rnacentral:rRNA from 1 species
GCUUGUCUCAAAGAUUAAGCCAUGCAUGUCUAAGUAUAAACAACUUUAUACAGUGAAACUGCAGAUGGCUCAUUAAAUCAGUUAUAAUUUAUUUGAUGAUUAACUUUACUACAUGGAUAACCGUAGUAAUUCUAGAGCUAAUACAUGCGUAAAUACCCAACUGCUUGUCGGACGGGUAGCAUUUAUUAGAUUGAAACCAAUGCAGCUUCGGCUGGUAUUGUGUUGAGUCAUAAUAACUGUGCGGAUCGCUUUUUAAGCGAUAAAUCGAUUGAGUUUCUGCCCUAUCAGCUUUGGAUGGUAGGAUAUGGGCCUACCAUGGCGUUAACGGGUAACGGGGAAUUAGGGUUUGAUUCCGGAGAGGGAGCCUUAGAAACGGCUACCACAUCCAAGGAAGGCAGCAGG